rnacentral:rRNA from 1 species
AUUGAACGCUGGCGGCAGGACUAACACAUGCAAGUCGAGCGAGCGGCGGACGGGUGAGUAAUGUCUGGGCCACUGCCUGAUGGAGGGGGAUAACUACUGGCAACGGUAGCUAAUACCGCAUACCAUCAGAUGUUCCCAGAGGGGAUUAGCUAGUGGGUGGGUUAACGGCUAACCUAGGCGACGAUCCCUAGCUGGUCUAAGAGGAUGACCAGCCACACGGGAACUGAGACACGGUCCAGACUCCUACGGGAGGCAGCAGUGGUGAAUAUUGCACAAUGGGCGCAAGCCUGAUGCAGCCAUGACGCGUGUGUGAAGAAGGCCUUCGGGUUGUAAAGCAAUUUCAGCGGGGAGGCGUUACCCGCAGAAGAAGCACCGGCUAACUACGUGCCAGCAGCCGCGGUAAUUC